GUAGGUGAACCUGCGGAAGGAUCAUUCAUAAUAAGUAUUUUAUGGCACUUUUUUAAAUCCAUAUCCACCUUGUGUGCAAUGUCAGGGUUGAUUUUUCUCUCGAGAGGAUCAACCCCAAACAUCAACUAUAUCUCAACUCUUUGUCUGAAAAAUAUUAUGAAUAAAACAAUUCAAAAUACAACUUUCAACAACGGAUCUCUUGGCUCUC
rnacentral:misc_RNA from 1 species